CCUACGGGAGGCAGCAGUGGGGAAUAUUGCACAAUGGGGGAAACCCUGAUGCAGCCAUGCCGCGUGUGUGAAGAAGGCCUUCGGGUUGUAAAGCACUUUCAGCGAGGAGGAAAGGUUGGCAGCUAAUAUCUGUCAGCUGUGACGUUACUCGCAGAAGAAGCACCGGCUAACUCCGUGCCAGCAGCCGCGGUAAU
rnacentral:rRNA from 1 species